rnacentral:misc_RNA from 1 species
UUGUGCUCUCCAGGAAUUUCCUGCUUGUUUUCCUUGUCUUAUACUCAAAAGGAAAGAGCGACUAAAAUGCGGUUUAACACUCGCUGUCCCAGUAGAAGCAGGUGUGGACGGAGAGGCUGCAGAGCUACGAAAAAGCUGCAUAAAAAUGAAGCCUCUGGACUCCAUGACAGGCCGUGGCUGCUGUGGGAAAUCGCUGAGGUUCGUCGCUGCGGGUCUGGUCACGGUGGCUGUCGUCCAUGUUGCGCACUGGAUCUCUUCUGAAACGUCAUCGAUCUUGCGGGAAGAGUCCCAAGCCCAGUUUUCCCUCCACAAUCUACCCAGCAAAAGGGAAGUUACGGAAAGGAGCAAAAUCCAGACAGUUACUCGUGGGUCCCUAAGAAAUUCUUUCAGACAAAUGCAGGAAAUCCACGUUAAGCCAGCGAUACCACAUGCCAAAAUUUUGAAUAUCACAAGCUUCUCCGGGGUCGACCAAGAUGACCCGCGUCUUGUCGCCUUUGUCCGGCAGCGGAUGCGUUCCCCAGCGCCGUCGUCGCAGCCAUAUAACCUCAUGCAUCCUGAGAAGACUGAUUUUUCACAGAGCAAUCAGAGCACCUAUGCUGAUAGAGAAUUUCUUCAUGGAAUGACUAAUGGUUUCUUCGUGGAAAUGGGGGCGGUAGACGGGGAGAUCUUCAGCAAUUCGCUCUACUUCGAGAGGACGCUCAACUGGACAGGGCUGCUGGUGGAGGCCAACCCUGAGGACUACCACACUCUUACAACCCGCGGCAGAAAGGCAUAUUCCAUACAUGCUGCCGUUUCACCCAAAAACACGUCCGGAAUGAGUACAUUCAAUAGGAGGAGCCAGCUCUUCGGACGUCUGGGCCCGGACGAGGGAACCGGCGUGGCGGUGUGGCGCUUCCCGCUCUACACCAUGCUCGCCGCCCUGAACGUCUCCACCGUUGACUUCCUCUCCCUCGAUGUGGAGGGCGACGAACUGGAGCAGUGGCAUAUCUAAUCUUGUUGGGUUAUAGAGAUCUCUUCCCUUCUGUCAACAUAAAAUGAUUCUGGGGAGGCGAGAUGCAGACCUCUAUACUGGCAAUAAAGUGUUGCGAACAAUCCCCUGGGAAAGGAUAACCAUUCGCAUCAUGUGUGUCGAAAUAAACCAUGUCAAGGAAGGAGCUCGGAGAGUCAUCGAAUACAUGCUCAAACAAGACU